CUGUCAAAUAUCGCGUCGUUUGAUCAGCGAUGGCUCAACGAUAGAUGACGGUAAAACCGAAUAUCUACAGCUGCCUAUUGAGCGGGAAGCUGCAAUCCGGAAUGGAGGUGACUCCAUCAGGACUGCGGUUGGAUUACUAUUGCCACUUGGCAGCUGACCA
ncrna:unclassified sequences DTF2800 RNA